GUUUAGCCUACUAUUUAUUUAAUAAGUAUCCACCCUGUGCCUGGUUUACCGUUGUUUACAGAGAGGCAUUUCCCAAAGCCUUACCAUCGAGUGGUCUGACCACCCUGAGACCUAAAGGGGAGAACUGAAGUCAGGAGCUGUGUCCUGGGUGUGCUCUUGCUCAACUUCAGCUGUGCUUCACUGUGCUCCUGCUUCUUUUACCUUUCCUGGAAAAUAGGACAUAUAGGACUUCUAUUCAGAGUGAGUCUCCAUUUCUGUGGGGUCCUAUCUCCAAGAAACAGGAUACACUUUCUGGAAAUGGGAAGAGGGAAGAAGACUAGAAUGUUGAACUCCAUGGCCAAAAUACAACUUUAACAAAUGAAAAAAAUUAUUUGGAAUCCAGGUUAGGUUUUACUAUAGUCUUAUUUGAGUAAAACAAGCUUGAUUCUCAUGCAUAUGCCUCUAUAAACUUUAUAUAAAUGGGGAAACUGAUAAUUUGAAAGCCAUUCAGGAUUUUAUUAAAGCAGUGAAUUAGCUUGUGAUGUGCUUCAAGGAUUAUGAAUGCCUUUAAAAUGUAUUUUGUGGCCAGGAAUGGUGGCUCACAUCUGUAAUCCCAGUACUUUGAGAGGCCAAGGCAGGUGAAUUGCUUGAGGUCAGGAGUUUGAGCCCAGCCUGGCCAACAAGGUGAAACCCCCAUCACUACUAAAAAUACAAAAAUUAGCUGGGCGUGGUGGCACAUGUCUGUAAUCCCAGCUACUCUGGAGGCUGAGUCAGGAGAAUCGCUUGAACCCUGGAGGCGGAAGUUGCAGUGAGCGGAAAUCAUGCUCCUUGCCACUGCACUCCAGCCUAGGCAACAGAAUGAAACGGUAUCUCUAAAAGAAAAAAAUGUAUUUUGUAAAGAAGCAAACUGAAAAAUCUCAGUUAAAAAAGUCCCAUUUAUUUACAAAUUAAUCACUUUUUAUGAGUCCCCUUUGCUCCUCUAAAGACCAAAAGAGUAAUAUUUUCUAUCUUGGUUUGGCAUAAUAGAUACAUAUGUUAUUCAAAAUCCUGGUUGUGUAAGCUGGGAGAAAAAGUGGCAUUUAUCAUUUAAUUAGUUCUUUCAACUCAGCAUCCAAAAUUACAGUCCAAAUUUUCUAAUAAGCAGAAGAAUGUGAGCAAAUGAUAACAUCUUGCUAUUAAUAAAAAAAAAACCUGAG
rnacentral:lncRNA from 13 species